AACACAUGCGCAAAGAGGGAGGAUCUCAACAGGCUUCUCUCUCGCGAGGGAGUGUCUGGUUCUCGAACAACAUUGUCCUUGUCCGCCAAUUAGGUCAUAUUAGUGGGAAUCUAUUUACACGGAGAGGAAUUAUGGAAAGAUACAACUUUGAGGUUUGGACGUCACUCUACAGAUGAACCCUCUAUCCUGACACCUCUGGAGCAGUGCUGCAGGAUCCGUCACUCUACCCUCCUGUGUCUGUCUGCGUCUCCUCUCCCUGCCCCAGUACAGUCUGAUGUCAUGAGGGACUUUUUCAUGAUCCUCUAUUCCUGUGGCCCCUCUCCACCCUGGACCAUCGCCUAGCAACCGUGCUCAGAACCUUUGAGCCGUUGCCAGGAUCAACAGUGUAGCCUCCAUGGACGAGGACAAUGACCCAAAACACACCUCCAGGCUGUGUAAGGGCUAUUUGACCAAGAAUGAGAGUGAUGGAGUGCUGCAUCAGAUGACCUGGCAUCUACAAUCACCAGAUCUCAAACCAAUUGAGAUGGUUUGGGAUGAGCUGGACCGCAGAGUGAAGGAAAAGCUGCCAAAAAGGGCUCAGCAUAUGUGGGAACUCUGUGGGAGCAAGAUGUACAUAUAGGAAGAAACAUAAUACUGUACCACAAGAGAAAGAUACACUUACGAGUGCAUUUGCCAUUCUGGUAAAAUGCAUUGUCUUUUGUAUAGGACAGGAAGCCAAAGUAAGGCCAUGAGAGCAUAGGACAGCUGGACAUACCAAGGUCAGAGGGACAUACAAAGGAGGGGGUCAGCCAAAUGACCAACUGAUGGACUAUAGACAUAGGGCAUAUAUUUUUAGGACAUGAACAGAAGAGACACAAAGUCUACUAGUCCUAAUAAGGACAAGCCAAACAUAAGGGGGCCAUAGGAUAAGAUGGGCAUGUAUUAUUUUUGUGACAUGAAGAGGUCCUGUCACCAUUAUAACUUGACUGAAAGCAGAUAUGGGCGUUAUCGAGCUGAACAAGCAGGAUGCACAGAUUGGGAUAUAAUGGUGGCAGAUGGACUGAGGGAAGUAACUCCAUUUGCAUGUGGGAUGGACUCAUAUGUUGUAUGUGUAUAAAUCAGCCAGUGCUCUGGAAAAGUGUGUGUUCCGCGGACCAUCUAGGCUUCUGAUAUGUUUGUAUUAAAAGCCUAUAUUUAAUUCACAAGUUGUUGCAAGUGUUAUAUUUUGUAACGAUCCUCCACGACAUCUCCUUCAAGAAUGUUGGAAAAGCAUUCCAGGUCACUACCUCAUGAAGUUGGUUGAGAUUAUACCAAGAGUGUGCAAAGCUGUCAUCAAGGCACAGGGUGGCUACCUUGAAAAAUUGAACAUAUAUUUUGCUUACAACAUUAUUCCAUAUGUGUUAUUCCAUAGUUUUGAUGUCUUCACUAUUAUCCUACAAUGUAGAAAACAGUCAAAUAAAGAAAAGCCCUGUAAU